UCAUUUCAUUCCUAAGCUGACUGUGUUCGUUUCGUGUGGUACGGCACCGUUCUUAAUUAAAAGAGUUCAAGAAGAGUUAAGUCGUGAUGUAAAGAAAUAAAAGCAUAUUCUUAAAGUGAACCAGCAUAUCCUUCGCAUAGUUUUAACAAAUUUUCAAAUUAAUUAAUAGUCAUGGAGAUGAAAAUCGAUGAAACCGAACAUGUCCGUGAAAACGGUGACAUAUUCAUUCAUCGCUUGAAAGAUUUGACUGAUGAAGAAAAACAACGUCUUGAAGCUCAGAACUCGCGUAUCAUACCAGACGCAAAGGCUGUUCGUUUAGAAAAAGAAGCCAAGCGACAUUGGGAUCUAUUUUACAAGAGAAAUGAGACCAAAUUCUUUAAGGACCGGCAUUGGACAACACGUGAGUUUCAAGAGCUUAUAAAUUUUCAAGCCGAUGAGAGAAUCACGUUUUUAGAGUUGGGUUGUGGCGUAGGCAAUAUGGUAUUUCCCUUGGUUCAAGAGGGCUUCUCGAAUUUCUAUUUCUACGCAUGUGAUUUUUCUCCACGUGCAGUUGAAUUCGUGAAGUCUAACAGUCUAUAUGACGAAAGCCGCAUGAAAGCGUUCUGCGCCGACUUAACAACUGACAACUUGUUCGAGAACAUUGAAGAGGGUUGCGUCGACAUCGCUAGUUUAAUUUUCGUUUUGUCUGCAAUACACCCUGAGGCAUGGUCGAAAGUAGCGGAGAUAGCGUAUCGCUCGCUUCGCCCUGGGGGAUUGCUGUUAUUUCGAGACUACGGCCGAUACGACAUGGCACAGCUUAGGUUCAAACCAGGCCACAAGAUUUCUGAUAAUUUCUACAUGAGGCAAGAUGGGACUAGGAGCUAUUACUUUACGGAGGAGGAACUGCAGGAAUUGUUCACUGAAGCAGGAUUUGAGAUCAUUAUGAACACCUAUGUGCAGAGACGGACUGUCAACUUCAAAGAAGGAAUAGAUGUGCCACGCAUAUUUGUUCAAGGGAAAUAUAGGAAGCCCUGUAAUGAUUGAGACCAACCUUCUAUUUUGCUGAGCAACUCAGGACUGGGCUUGAUACAAAAUGAGCUAGACUUACCUGUGACCUGAAUGGUGAAGAGUAACUCUUACAGAUAUUGCAGUAAGGCAGGCAAGCUGCAAGAAUGAACUGGCGAGAUGGUACUAACUGAGGAAGUUUCUGACAAAAUAACAUCCCAAAAACAACAACCAACAAACUGAUGCUACCAUUGAAUAUGGAAAUUUGGGAUCCUGUCUUCAAUUCUCUCAUCAUCAGAAGACAAUAAAUAUAUCUGCCCAAAAAUAGCAGGAAAUUAACUAGCGCGGUUGAAUAUUUUGGAAAGCUGUCUAAUGGCAUGAUGUGGCUACUGGGACGUCAUACAAGUAUGCUCAAUGAAACAGAUGAGAAGUGUUCCAUGUAUCAGCAUGUUUCACCAUUAGAAUUACUGUUGAUCAGAAAAAAUUGCUGCUUGACCUGCUAGCGCCAGAAGACGUGGUUUAUGUUUUCUGUAUGAUAAUAAAACUGAUUUUACUUAUUGAA